CCUGGUAGUCCACGCCGUAAACGAUGUCAACUAGCCGUUGGAAUCCUUGAGAUUUUAGUGGCGCAGCUAACGCAUUAAGUUGACCGCCUGGGGAGUACGGCCGCAAGGUUAAAACUCAAAUGAAUUGACGGGGGCCCGCACAAGCGGUGGAGCAUGUGGUUUAAUUCGAAGCAACGCGAAAGAACCUUACCAGCCUUGACAUGCAGAGAACUUUCCAGAGAUGGAUUGGUGCCUUCGGGAACUCUGACAC
rnacentral:rRNA from 1 species